CCGAGUUGGGCCGGGCAGGGAGGGCAGAGGCCAGGCUGGGAGGGGGAGGCUCCGCUGCUCCGCGUUUUUCCGGUUUGAGGACACGGAGAGGCCCACAGUCCUGACCUGGGCGGUGCUGGCGGACAGGGCCAGGUCUUCUCCACGCAGAUGCCUCUGGAGCGCGAUAUCGGGAAGAAACACUUCGUGGCAUGCCCAGGGUUAAGAGCUGAGGCGACAACCCGUUUUUGUUUGAGAAGCGUAGAGACAGCGUUUCGCCAUGUUGAGCAGGCUGGUCUCGAACUCCUGACCUCAGGUGAUCCACCCACCUCGGCCUUCCAAAGUGCUGGGAUUACAGGGCUGGGCUUCUUAUAA
rnacentral:lncRNA from 1 species